UACAGAGGUCUCAAGCGUUGUUCGGAUUCAUUGGGCGUAAAGGGUGCGUAGGCGGCGCGGUAAGUCGGGUGUGAAAUCUCGGAGCUUAACUCCGAAACUGCAUUCGAUACUGCCGUGCUUGAGGACUGGAGAGGAGACUGGAAUUUGCGGUGUAGCGGUGAAAUGCGUAGAUAUCGUAAGGAAGACCAGUGGCGAAGGCGGGUCUCUGGACAGUUCCUGACGCUGAGGCACGAAGGUCAGGGGAGCAAACGGG
rnacentral:rRNA from 1 species